AAUUAACAAGUAUUUCUUCAUCUAUUGUUUCUUUUGAUCACAAGAUCCCCGACAGGGAUGAGGAGCUACCUCACAUGUCCCUCAGCAUUGUGCAGAGCCUGACCAGCCUGCUGGACCUGGUGCAUGGAGCAGUGAGAGAAAAGAGCACAAAGAGACACUGGCAGGAAGAGGAAGCUGAGUAAUACCCUGCCCCAGCUCUUCCCAGGCCCAUCACACAGACCAUCAGGCUAUCAAAGGCCCAUCUCCACAAGCCCAGAAGAGCACAGGGGCACCAUGGCACAUGUUGCUGGGGAAAACCAAAUUAAGGCCUCAUAAGAAGGGGCACCCAAAUUAAGGACUUAGAAGAAAAGCAUCAAGCCAUGUGUCCAGGCCUGAAACCCAUCAUGAUGAGUCAACAGGAGCACCUUUUGAAAUAAAGGGGAUUACAGCCUGGUGGUAUGUGACACAUCAGGAGAUGUAAGAGAAGAGCAUUUGGUGAUUGCACAAAACUUAUGGUGGGACAACUGUAAGGAGAGGAACUGAAAGUGGGGAAAGGGAGGUUUCAAAGUGGUUUUGGGAGGAACAAGUGUGGGAAUGAGUGAUAAAGGGGCAAAAGGGGCUGGCCCUGUGUUGGCUGCUUGGUAUUGCAGUCUGGCCAUGCCCUGCGCCUGAUCAGUGCAGUCUGUCAUGUCUUCUUAUUAAAUUCCAUUUCUAAUUCCUUUUCUGGGUAAGGAACCCUGUUUUGUGUGUGUGUGUGUGUGGCUGGAGGUCCAAGCAACUGCAGCAGGACUACUGUACCCCAUGGUGUUUUUGUGACCCCAUGGUCAGGUUUGUGUGAGGUCUGACCUAUUGUAUGGUCCUGUUUGUAUCAUAUCUGUGUCCUUCAAUUCUAAAACAUUUUUUCUUCUAGGAACAGAGUUCAAGGAAGGACAACCUCCUGUAAAUAAGAAAGAGGAGCCUUGCUUGCUUUUUCUCUGUUUCUCUUAAAUGUUCGAAAUUCUCUAAAUAUGAGAAACAGUGCUUCUCAUAAUUUCAGGGACUGGAUUUUAGAGGGCUGGGUCCAAACAAGAUUCUAAAGAUGUUGUAACCCCAGCACACAAGUAGAAAAUAGCACAAAGAAAUUGAAAUUUGAAUUCUAUAGGAAAAAGGGUGAGUGAGCUUGGAAAGUGUAUGGCUUAAUAUAAAAACAGGUAUGAACAUAUUAUAAAUGUUAAUUUGAUCAUAUCUGGGAAUAGCAAGAUUUUUAGAAAUGAUAUUAUGAAACUAAUAUUAGGAAAGAGGGACCCCUGAGGUAUCUGGAUGGAAGGAGAAGUCUAAUUUAAUUUCCAUUUCACUGAAUUCUGGAAAUGUGUUUAUUAUUUUUGCCCCAUUCAACCCUAAACAUGUUCCUGAAAUCUAAUGUAACCUCAUAAAUGCCUAAAUUGACCAGAUAUUGUUUUUUCCCUUUUAUUCUAGCUUUUGCCUUAGUUCUGUAUAGUGAAAGAAAUGCAGAAAAGGGAUUAUUUUACAUAAUAAUCCCCUGUUCCUGUCUUUCCUAUUUUUCUAUGACCAUUCAACCUAAAAGACAGAAUAUAUGAUUACUCGGUGAAAGCCUUGCAGCCAUAAACUCUGUCUGUUUUGUAGCCUUCAAAGCAUUAUUUAUAUAAAGACAAUAAGAAAGUCUUGUUCCUUUAUAAGGGUGACUGCAAGGAGUUUGAUCUCUGAGAAGAACAGCAAAGAAUGUCUUUCUCCAGCUCCUGAAAAUGACUCAGUAAGAGAUUUUGAUCUCUGUAUUGUAAAUUUGAUAUCCUGUGGAUCUCCUCUUCACCUUAUGUAUUGAGUUGCCUGUUAUAUUACAUCUUUCAAGCUUAAUACGUGAUUGAUUAAAAAGCUUCAUUUUCAGCCUUGCUUUUCUAUAUGACCAUUUUGAGCUUAAAUGUUUCAUGAUUAUUUUUAUCAGCCAAACCCACUGCUAUAGGAUAGUUCACUUAAACUAUGUAUGUAUUUUGUUUUAGAUACUAAUUGUUGGAAUAAGAAAAAAAAUACUUCUGUCAAAGUAAUAUGAACUGUAAACCUUUCUGUCCUCAUACAGCCAGGCUGUUAAUCAUAAAAAAUAUCCUAGUACACAAAAAGACGUCAGAGACUACUUCGUUAAAUAAAUGAACACCUAUAAUUUUUCUACAUCUCCUUGGUACUGUUCUUCUCUCUGAAACUGUUGUCUCACCUGUCUGCUGGAGUCCUGAGACAUGAGAGUAAUAACCGCUUUUUUUUUAUGUACACCAGGUCAAGGACUGUAAAUUUGCGAUGACUUCUUUGUCCCCUCUCUUUGCAACAGGCUGUGUUGUUGCUGGAGAAACCGUUCAUCAUCCGAUACACUUUUAAUUUGAAUGGGAUUUCACCAUUUGAAUACAGGAUUGCCCUUUGCCAUGCUGCUCAGCCCUAUUUGCGACUGCAAACCACAGUGCUUGUUCACCAAUAUGACAACCUCUUUCAGGUAUUACAACCCUGAAAGAAUUCAUUUAGACAGAUGUGAAUGUGCUUCUGACAAUAUCCACCCCUUUCUGACCAAGUGUGGCCCACAAGGCCAUGGCCGGGCUCUGCUCAUGGAAGGCAGGUUGGCCUUUUGCAGGCCUGAGGAGAGGAGAGCAGCAAGCUGCUGCUCUACAUGGAGCAUUACCUCUCAUCCCUAUUCCACGGAGCUCUGCUGGAGGCUGAAGACCAGCCCUGCUUUCUCAGGUGCUGUGGCAGUGGAUAUGGCAUAGAUUUCCGAAGAAAAAGUAGAAGGUCCUUUUGUCCCACGUAGCCUUGGCACAGUAGGCCUUUUCUUACACAUGCCGAAAUGGUGGAAUGGUUUGCCUGCUGCACAGGGAUAUGAAGGUUCAUUAUGAGGGAUUUCCUCUCUCAAUUUCUAUAUUCUGUGGCUGUGUUUUAUUAAUAGGAAGAAAAAGAAAUGAUUCUUAGGAAAAAUUGUGAAAUACUAGGAAAACAGCACAGCUAGGGGGCUGCAGGCAGCUGAUCCCUCAACUGCAGCUACUCUUGAGCAGUCAUAUGUCUCACAGCGCUUGCAGUCAGCAACACUAUCACACACAUAACCCUUUACCAUUAAAUGUGGGAAGCACAGGUCUUGCAAAUGUGUGAUCAGCUUCAAACCUCAGUGCCUGGCAGAUUUUUUUCACUGCAACAUCAUUUGGCAAUGUUUGAAUCUAAUGCCACAAAUAAAUACACAAAUAAGAGCAAGGCACGAUGCUUAUGGAAUGAAAGACCAAAACAACACAGGCUUAAGAACCUUUGAAGUUCACCUGUAGGAUCAUGAAGAGGUCCUCGUGCCAAAAUAACACAGAGGCAGACUCCUCUGAACCCCACCGAGAUAGAAGGAUAAAAGGGUUGAAAGGAUAGCCACUCCCAUUGAGGAUUUCAGCUGCUCCAUCCUUCCCAAGGCAGAGCCCAGUGGCCAGGCACUGCGAGGAGUGGAGAGGCAAGAGGACAACAUCCUCAGAUCCCCAGCGUUCCCUAGGAGCUCCAGAGAGAGCCAAAGCUUCACCACUGCUCCCUGAACCCUGACAUGUUUUAAAACCUAGCCAGGACACGCUCUGCUAAUCCCAGAUUAGGGAAUAGCUCAUACGGGCCGCCCUUCCUGUCCUAAAACAUGCUAAUGAAUCCUUUCAUCUUGGGAUGUUUUUCACAUAUUUACAUUUGCUUGCACCAGGCGAUGUUUGCCCUACAUUUCUUCCCUCUCACUGUGAACAGCUGCACAUCCUCACUCUACCUAUCUCUCUGCAGGAAUGGUUUUCUGAACUAGAUGAGACUGCUCAGCCAGCACGAGGCCUUUAGCCAGAGUAUUUCAGCAAGGCUCCAGUUCACUUCCCAUCUCUGGCCCCAGGUCACUCAGCAGCUUUCACAAUGAUGUCUUCCUAGCAGCGAGCAUCAGGUUAUCUGAAAUGUUUGUGCAGAAAGCUCAGAGCCUCAGCAUAAAUUGGGAAGGAAAAUUUCUUGAUAACUUAGCUUCACUGCUUCUCAGCAAAAUCCUCACAUCACAAAAGGGAGCCAGGAGUUUUUGCUGUCUGUUGCUGAAGAUAAAUGUAUGCUCCAACAGCGGGAGGACCGGGGAAGUCCAACCCCUGAACUCCGUGCUCUGCAAGUCACGUAAGUUUGUAAAACUCUUGAAAAACAUAACUGCCUUGUGGAAAUGCUGAAAAUAUUAGUUUUAGGGUCUGAUUUGCCAAUUCUUAGACACACAAGAAGCCUCUUGAUUUCACUGAAAAUUUGGGGUAAACAAAAGUAAUUCUAUUAUUACAGCCUUGGAAAACGACUAAUUAGAGAAUAGGUUGAGAAUUGUUGAAUGCUGUCCUUCUUGCUCUCUUCACCCCAUGUAUGCAAAUCGAUAAAUAAAUUUAAAAGCAACUUAAGCACCUCAAUAAAUUAAGCUGCUGUUUUAGAAGAUUCCUCUAAUUAGAUUUAUCUUUAAUAAUAUGAGAGUACUUUCUAGAAGCCUAGCAUGGUACUUCUCUUUUAUAGAGGUAUGCAAUUUUGAGGCAAGUCUUCUGUAUUUCUUCAAAUUACUAGAAAUGUUUAUUUUCCACUGCUUGAAUUUAUGUCUUGCAAGUGUCUUUCCUGCCCAUGAACUCUUCUCCCUCUUUACAGUUAAUGGGAGUUGCAGAGGCACAGAGGCUCAGGUUCUUUUUUACUUUUCAAUUAGGUAAAUAAAUCCUUAUUACUUAAAUGACUCUCUGAAGAAUAAUAGGUAGAUAAAUCAUGUAAGAUUUUUGCAAUCUUUAUAACAGCCCCCAUCUGGAAUGUCUAUUUCUGAUAUAUACAGUUUUAAGAGAACGUCAAGUACAGUAUCCACCAAGUACCAAAAAAGUUUUGUUUCCUUUAAUGGCUUAAGAAAAAUAUUUGUCAAGAAAAAAAAAAAAAUUAAUCUGGGAUUAUAUAAAAAUAAUAAGUUUUCUCUAACAGCACUGGUUAGGAAAGUUGCCUAUUAAAAAUCUGACCACUGAUUGAAGCUUGCAAUUUCAGCCUUCAUCAGUUGCUUUCUUGAGUGACUCAUCAAAUCAGUUACCUAAAAAGUCAAUAUUGAGAAACCAGGUAAACCAAUAAAUACUCCUUUCAGUCACACACUUGCUACCAAACACUCUUGAGAACACAGUAAAGCGUUUUAUUGUUUAUACUCAUUUUCAUUUACACAUAGUAGGAACAAUCAAUGCAGUUCUAUCACAGCAGGUGGACCAUAUCCUGAAACUCUAACUUUGACUGCUGAAUGUACGUAGACCUUUCUUAAGGUCUGAUCAGAUCAAAAAAAAAAAAAAAAAGGAAAAAAAAAGUUGGGGGAAAUAGGGAGGAGAGUAAUUUCAAUAACAUUAUUUUAUUAAUGAUUCAUGGGUAUUUAUUUUGCAGGUGAUACAGCUCUUCUGAAAGAGCAAACUGCUUCACUUCUUACAAAAUAGACAAUAAUGUAAUUACUUAGAGAGUUCUAAAUUUUGCAGUGGUUCAUGCGGUAAGGGUGUGCAACUGACACAAAAUGGAAAACAUGGUUACAACAGCAAACUGCUACUUCUAUUCCCAGCUGGUUUAUGGAAAAGGUCAUUGGACUUCUUGUUUUCUGCUCUCAAGUCAUGGAGUAGAAGCAAGAAGUAUUUACAUUAUGAAGGCAACGAUGAGGACAGGCUAUAGAUAUGCAGUGCAGUUGAACAGGUCUACAACUCGUUUCUACAGUACUUGCAUUUGCUAUUGUUUGGAAAUACAAAUAUAACUUUUGCACACUGCCACUUCUCACACAUGUUCAGCUGAAGGAGUCAUUUACAGAGUUUACUGUGAUGCUCCUAAUUUUUUUUAGCCUCCGCCUUUCCUUCUUCUGUGGCUCAUGGUGAGUGAGCAACUCUUUCCACUGAAAGAAAGAAAUUACAGGUGUGCAGAAGUACAACUAUGCUACCGACACAGACAGAGACAACUGUGCUCUGGUGCACACCCCUACAACCGGCUGGAGAACAAAUUAAGAAGUUAAGCCUGCAAAAUAAAUUGAGUUUACUCUCAAACUUUUUCUUCAGUCCAGAUGAAUUAUAGACCUUGAUUCGAGGCUGCCCUCUUUUUUUUUCUUUUUUUUUUUUUUUUUUUUGCAACAUAUCUGCAUGUCUAUUGGAACAGCAUCUCUGCCAGAGUCAU